rnacentral:rRNA from 1 species
CUCCUACGGGAGGCAGCAGUAGGGAAUUUUCGGCAAUGGGGGAAACCCUGACCGAGCAACGCCGCGUGAGCGAAGAAGGCCUUCGGGUCGUAAAGCUCUGUUGUAAAGGAAGAACGGCGCAUACAGGAAAUGGUAUGCGAGUGACGGUACUUUACCAGAAAGCCACGGCUAACUACGUGC